GCUUUGGUAGCUCAGAUGGUAGAGCGUGCGGUUAAAGACCGCGUGACCGCUACGGUCGCAGGUUCGAAUCCUGCCUCGGGCA